GUGGGGAAUAUUGGGCAAUGGGCGCAAGCCUGACCCAGCGACGCCGCGUGAGGGAUGAAGGCCUUCGGGUUGUAAACCUCUUUCAGUAGGGAAGAAGCGAAAGUGACGGUACCUAAAGAAGAAGCACCGGCUAACUAUGUGCCAGCAGCCGCGGUAAUACAUAGGGUGCAAGCGUUGUCCGGAAUUAUUGGGCGUAAAGAGCUCGUAGGUCGUUUGCCGCGUCGAUUGUGAAAAUCUGAGGCUCAACCUCAGACCUGCAGUCGAUACGGGCAAACUAGAGUGUGGUAGGGGAGACUGGAAUUCCUGGUGUAGCGGUGGAAUGCGCAGAUAUCAGGAGGAACACCAAUGGCGAAGGCAGGUCUCUGGGCCAUAACUGACACUGAGGAGCGAAAGCGCGGGGAGCGAACAGGAUUAGAAACCCCAGUAGUCC
rnacentral:rRNA from 1 species